UUCGAUUAACGCGAAGAACCUUACCUGGGCUAGACAACGGCGGACCGUCCUAGAAAUAGGAUCUUCCCUUCGGGGACUGCCGGUUCAGGUGCUGCAUGGCUGUCGUCAGCUCGUGCCGUGAGGUGUUGGGUUAAGUCCCGCAACGAGCGCAACCCUUGCCCUUAGUUGCCACCAUUCAGUUGGGCACUCUAGGGGGACUGCCGGCGUUAAGCCGGAGGAAGGUGGGGAUGACGUCAAGUCCUCAUGGCCCUUACGGGCUGGGCUACACACGUGCUACAAUGGCGGUGACAGUGGGAUGCGAAGGGGCGACCCGGAGCCGAUCCUGAAAAGCCGUCUCAGUUCGGAUUGCACUCUGCAACUCGAGUGCAUGAAGGUGGAAUCGCUAGUAAUCGAGGAUCAGCAUGCCUCGGUGAAUACGUUCCGGGCCUUGUCACACCGAAUCACUA
rnacentral:rRNA from 1 species